rnacentral:rRNA from 1 species
UACGUAGGGUGCAAGCGUUGUCCGGAAUUAUUGGGCGUAAAGAGCUCGUAGGCGGCUUGUCGCGUCGGCUGUGAAAACCUGGGGCUCAACCCCGGGCCUGCAGCCGAUACGGGCAAGCUAGAAUUCGGUAGGGGAGACUGGAAUUCCUGGUGUAGCGGCGAAAUGCGCAGAUAUCAGGAGGAACACCGGUGGCGAAGGCGGGUCUCUGGGCAGUAACUGACGCUGAGGAGCGAAAGCGUGGGGAGCGAACAGG